GCCAGGCGUGGUGGCACAUGCCUGUAGUCCCAGCUACUUGGGAGGCUGAGGCAGGAGAAUCGCUUGAACCCAGGAGGUGGAGGUUGCAGUGAGCCAAGAUAGUGCCAUUGCACUCCAGCCUGGGUGACACAGUGAGACCCUGUCUCAA
rnacentral:sRNA from 1 species